rnacentral:rRNA from 1 species
GAGCGGGAAAAGCUCAAAUUUAAAAUCUGGCGUCCUCCGGGCGUCCGAGUUGUAAUCUGGAGAAGCGUUUUCCGCGUCGGACCGUGUACAAGUCUUCUGGAACGGAGCGUCAUAGAGGGUGAGAAUCCCGUCUCUGACACGGACUACCGAUGCUUUUGUGAUGCGCUCUCGAAGAGUCGAGUUGUUUGGGAAUGCAGCUCAAAAUGGGUGGUAAAUUCCAUCUAAAGCUAAAUAUUGGCCAGAGACCGAUAGCGAACAAGUACCGUGAGGGAAAGAUGAAAAGCACUUUGGAAAGAGAGUUAAACAGUACGUGAAAUUGUUGAAAGGGAAACGCUUGAAGUCAGUCGCGUUGGCCGAGACUCAGCCUGGCUUGCCUGGUGUACUUCUCGGUUGACGGGUCAGCAUCAGUUUUGACCGCCGGAUAAAGGUUGGAGGAAUGUGGCAUCCCUCGGGAUGUGUUAUAGCCUCUGAUUCGCAUACGGCGAUUGGGACUGAGGAACUCAGCACGCCUUUAUGGUCGGGGUUCGCCCACGUAACGUGCUUAGGAUGCUGGCAUAAUGGCUUUAAGCGACCCGUCUUGAAACACGGACCAAGGAGUCUAACAUGCCCGCGAGUGUUUGGGUGUUAAACCCGAGCGCGUAAUGAAAGUGAAAAUUGAGAUCCCUGUCGUG